GCCUUCAUAGCUCAGUGGUAGAGCGUUGGUCUUGUAAACCAAAGGCCGAGAGUUCGAUCCUCUCUGGAGGCA
rnacentral:tRNA from 1 species